rnacentral:tRNA from 1 species
CGCGGGAUGGACUGGAGAUGGCACCAGCCGAGCCUCAUAAGCUCUGAUACGUGGGUUCAAAUCCCACUCCCGCAA